AGGAACACAUUUUAUGAAAUGACUGAUUAAAAUAAUAGUACAUGAAUUUUACAAUGCAGGUUUUCUUCUGUACCUCGUCAACAAAUGAGCCGGCUGCUCGAAAAGCGUCAACAAUGACGACGCAUCCUGAUGUUAGCCUGCUUUUACCCCAUCAAGCAGAUGUGUUGCAACAUCUCGAAGGAUGCUCUCUCUCUCUCUCUCUCUCACUUUCUUUCUGUAAAGGCAGCUCAACAUAUUUGAUGAAAUAACGUGAGAGGAGGCUCCUGUGCGUUUUUCAAAGCGUUAACUGGCCUCGGGCUCCUCUCAGCUCCUCUUGGUGCCGCGUGGACUCGUUACUGCGAGCGCCCAAUAAAGCAGCGAGCGCCAUUUAAAGUAGGGAGAUAUUUAUGGCGCUCCCCGCAAGGCCUCUCCUUCUCGUUUCGACCCACAUUCCACAUUCCUCGACGUUCGCAGGAAUGGGACGGGGGGACUUGACUGACGCGACCUGACUCGAAUCGGACUUAAGUCGCUGAUAUUGGGACUGCGGAGUUGCUAGGCUAAAACUUAAGAAAGACUGAAAGAUUGCGAAUGUGCUGGAAUAGAUGAGAAUCAAACUUGGUUGAGCUAGUUAACACAUGUACAAAUAGUGUUGAGCCUUAAGCAAUGACGAGUGCGGUAGGUAGUGUACUAUAAUACAUGUUUCAACCAUGCAUAAUUGGGCGACCCGCCUAAAGUGAUGACUUGAUUAGCCCAAGUAAUGACGAGGCUUACUUUGAAAUUUAUUGCGGAGGCUACUUGAUUUAUUCGAUUUUUGCCACAGUGUUUGGCUUUUCUUUUUUGAAAAUGUCAGCUGUGCUUUCAUCAAGCGUCACGUCCGGAGGGACGCCUGAGGCCUUCUGAGGAGAAACAUACUCGCGACGGCAUCUGCAAGACGACACCUCGGGAUGUGCCGCAGCUGCUACGUGGCGAAGCGCGAACGUGGACACGUCUCUGCAAUUAACGGGAAGAUGAAAACGCUGUGCGCGGAUGUUAUUUGCUACUGAUGACAGAACAUCCUAAGAUGCGCUCAUCAGUCCCGGGAAGGACCAAGGCGGCCGGUGGGAAUGUCCGCUGAGCUCUGACUCAUCACCUGACUCACGGAGAUGCCUUGGCAACCUAAAAUUUGGAGCUGACUGGUCGAGCGUGUUGUCCAUACGUCAUGUGAUCAAUGCCCUUGGGUGGACCUUCAUCAGUGUCGGCUGACCCAUCUCAGUCGAGGGUCAUGUCGACACACGGACACGGGGAAUCACCGCGAUUGCCGUUGCCAUAGUUACAAGAGGCCACCGCCGUUGCCGUGGAAAUGCCUGAAUGAGGUCACGCAGUACGUGGCGCCUGCAUGUCACUGUUCCAACAGCUCCACAUAAAAUAAAAGAUGCAGCUGUUUUUUUCGACAUUCCUGAAUGAAACGGAACAUUCCAGGAACUGUCCUGGCUCUCAUCAAGCUACUCCUAGCAUCGCUGAAGCGCCGCACCCCACCCGGGACAUCACUUCCUGUCCUGUAAGUGCUCUCAGCACAAAGCGAGCAGGAGCACGCCUACAGCUGGGUGGCUAACGUCACCUCGAGACAGCCCGGCCCCAGUCGCCGCGGCAACAUAGGCGUGUGCCACCACAGCUGCAUCAGACACACAGUCAACGGUCUUGAGAUUUCUGGUGGCCACGAACGUGCCACAAACUCGUCAAUGACGUCCAAACGGAACACACGUGACGGGAAACAAACUUUGAACGCCAUCCACCAUUUUCCUACCCACACGUCACACGACUCAUAAAGGUUGUGUGCGUCAUGGGGACGGCAGUGAUGGGAUUACACGCGGAGGACAAACAGUGGGAGCGUCCCCCAUCUCUUUGUCAUGCGUCCAUCUAAUCAGAGGGAAAGCUCCUCAUCCUCAUCGAAAAUAAGCCGCAAAACCCCAGUCUACUAAGCUCGCUUCGGAGGGUCACAAGUCGCAACAGAGCGCAGAUGUUUCUCAUCACCAGCGCUACAGGAGGAUAUACACUUACAUACAUACAUACUGUAUAUCCAGCUACAACAUAGGUGGGCAAAGUACUGCCCACCGAGCAUUUUCAUUAUCAAGAGCACGACGAUAUUUGUUGCAUUCAUUUAGCUGUUUUUCCCUUGAAAUUACUUAGUGA